UCCCAGCACUGAUCUGGUUUCCUUGCAUCACUGGAAGUUCCUGAACUACUGAAUGCCAGUAAAGGGAAGUGAAUGGCAGGGGAAGGAAUGCUCUGUUCUCUCCUUCUCACAGGUUUUGAUUACUCUGAGCUAACAACAACAUGAUGAAGGGCAGCACCCUACAAUCUGCUAACCCAAACUACAUGAAUCAGCAUCCUGGUCCCGUGAAGCCUGAGCAGCUGCCACCCAAAAACUCAUGGCUCUCUCAGUACACCACUGGAGCGGAUCACAGGUGACUCCUCAGUGGAGUGUAAUAUCAUGGGACCAUUCUCAUAGGCAUAAUGCUCAGGCCCAUACUAAAGACUAAAAUCCCCUUAAAGACAGAGUCUGUGGCCAACAUUUGAAAAACUGACUGAUAGUGUUGAUGGACAGCAAUUGCCUUCCAACCCAAGAGGAAAUAUGGAAUGAUGAGUGAAAAAUCAGAGAAAUAUAGGAGAAGGAUAUAAGGAAGAAAAGCAAACAAACCACCCAAAACUCCUACCCCAAACCAACCAAAUGACAACAAUAAAAAAAACCCAAUCACCAAAUAAAAAGCAAGCAAACAAACAACCAAACAAAAGCUCAACACAACACCACCCCCCCAGAAAAAAAACCCAACAACCAAACAAAAACCCCAAACCAAAACCAAUGUAGAAGGGCUACAAAUUCUGAAAGGCUCCAAAAGUGAUCUUGUUAGAAUUAUAAACUAUGACUGUAUUUACUUUAGAAAGGGGACUAAAGAAAAGCUCAAAGACACUAGAAUUGUUUUUCCUUUUAAGCAAUGACCCAUAAACUCCAAAAGAAGAUGAAGUGAAUUUUCUCUCCUAUUCAUUCCAUUUGCUACUUUGUCCUUUCGUUUACCUAAAUCUUGUCUUUUCAAGCUUAAUUUACUGGAUUAACCUUGUUGCUCAGAUAACAGUGUUUAACUCUAAGAUAAACCCCACAAGGGGAUUUGUGUGAAAAAUAACCUUUCUACCUCCAGAGUCUUCCCUAUCUCUGACUUAGUUAUAGAGAGUCUGUAUCAGUUGACCUGACUUGCUGCCUCUCUAUAACUCACACGUUUCUGAGCAGUGGCCAGAGGAGUCUCUUAGAAAGUAAAACACAUGGAAGCCUUUUCUCUCUGAACUGUGAGGCCUGAAUAUUGAAGCAAGAGGUCUAGCAAACACCAAUACAGUGCAACUUCAAAACACUAAAGAGAAUCAGUCUCCUAUCGUGCCUGAGAACUGCUGUGGUAGAAAUAAUGUAGAGAAUGAGAACUGGGAACU